UGUCAGGAUGUGCUAUAAGGAUAAAUCAGAGAAACGACAAACUUCGCCAAAAUGAGUCCAAGGUAAAAGCAUGGCAAGACCUCUAUCGGGGGAGAAAUGUAAUGAAAAUCCACCCCCCGGCCCGCUCUACCAGGAAAUUUUUUGCAAACAACAAAAAGACAUACAAUGUGUACCCUGUGUAAUCGAUCUUUGUCAAGACUUCAGCGCCUAGACGAACAUUUACAAAAGAUUCAUGGUAAACGAGACUCAAGUCCUUGCCCAAACUGAUGAACGUGGAGGAAAUAGUCGAAAAAGUGCUUCUUCUUGAAGGGAACAAAGACAACAUUUGUCUUGUCCGCUUUCCUAAUUUUAAAGGAUUAUGCAGCUAGAAAUGCAGUGUCGUGUGAUGCACGUUAUUCGCAUACGAUAAGUCUCUCCCUGAUCAUUUGUUUCGCUAUUUGUUUAUCUCGUUUUAUCGCAACCGCAAGCCACUAAAAAACUAUUGUAUUAAAGUCAUGCAUAACUUAACUAUGCUUCAAAUUCGGAUAAUUUUAAUACAGCUCAAAAUGUUGAAAAAAAAAAUCGCAGAAAAUCCAAAGGUCGACCCAUCAAAUUCUUUUGCACUCGCAAAUCGACGAGAAUCGUAAAAAAAUCAAAAUGCUCAAGCAGGAAUGAAGUCGCCUAAUAGGAUUUCAUGGAAAAUCGUAGAACAUCGCAAGCGAGAUAUUUAUGCCUUUUGCGUCGUUGCGAUAUUCAAAGAUAUCUUUGAAUUUCACAAAGUAUGAUUUCGCACCUUUUUUUUUCAUUUGGAUUUAUUGCGAUUUUCUGAGAUAUUUCAGGAUAUCACAGAAACUCGACUAUUAUCGCAAAAAGUGAAUUUUCAUUUCGCACGGGAGCCCCCCCCCUUCCCCCACCUUAAAGCUUCUCUAGGACUUUCCAAAAGUCUAAAUGUAUUUUCUCUACCGAAUCACCACUUUCAUCGCUACUGUACAGUAUAUAUCCGAGUUCUCUUGUUUGAUGAUUUGUCAGCGAGAGCAGAAACUCAGAAUCAACAUCAGUUUCUUACCAAGAGAUUUACAAAACAUGUUAUUUGUUGUUGGUGUAUUUCACUAAGCACCGAGCAGGGAUGGAAAUAUUUAUGUAUGAAAUCGACAACUAUGCCGAUUUUGCCAAAUGAAAGAUGAAAACCCAUGACCAACGUUUUUUCCCGAUAGGGAACAUAUCGUAUAUCGACUAAGCAUAUCUAAAAAAGCUGCACUUAUUUUUUUCACUCACUGAAAAAUACUAUAAUCAGAUUGAACUAAGUUAUGUCUAAGACAAUGAAUGCGGUAUUUUGCCAUUAGAAGCCAGUUUAUCUUGCAAAAUUGCUAAUGAACUAGAUUAAACAGCGAGUAGUAACGUUGUGUCCGGACAAAGUUAUAUCUAGAUAGAUUGUUAGUAUCCACACGUUUCACUGAAAAUUACUCCAGAAAAAAGCAUUAUUUUUUAAAUAAAUGAUGUUUGUCAAUAAAUACUAACAAACGUUAGUAAGUAUUUAUUGACAAUACUCAAGAUAUCAUCAUCUAACCGUAGAGGAAAAGGGAGUUGAGGUCUUAUGUAUCAAUGUACUUAGACAACUGAUACUGUAAAAUAAGCAAAAUAUAUUUUAGCUUUUACUGGGUUUGAAGGGAGGUAAUGUUUAUUUUAAAAAAUGAGAACCAAUUAUAGUUCAUCGCAGCAAAAUGGGUGCUUUUUAAAAAUAAUAAUAAUAAACUUACUGACAAUCGCCAUGAAAAUGUUAAAUUCGUAAAUAUUUACAAGUUCAAUAAAUUCAGGCGUAUAUUCCUCAAGGUAAGUAAGAAUUUAACGACAGAAAUACAUAGAAAUAGUCUUUUAGUUACUGUAUCAAUGUCACUUACCUUGUUCAAUUUUUUCAUCGAAAAUAAAAAACCCAACCCUAUUGCCUAUAUAUAUUUUGUUUUUGCUUAACCUUGUAUUGUCUGCAUCUUGCAUACUAUCUAAUGUGUUUAUUUAUUUUGAUUCAAAUAGUUAUUGAAAAUUAGUAAGGUUAUAAAAGGCAUAAUGAAAAUAUUGUUUUGAAAAAAAAUAAAUACUUAAGUUAAUUGUUUUCACUUUUAUUUAGGUAAAACCAGCCAAGGACUACCUGAGGGCCAUGAUUGAUGCUACAGCUGGAAGGCAUGAGAAUAGGCAAAUAUAGGGGAUUUCUUACUUUGAUACAGCAGUAUAAGUGUAAUAGGUUCUUUUAGAGCAAGAUACUUUGUCUCAAUGAUGAAUCUGUAAAGAAAACAUUUUUUAUCAACCUAAA